ACGGGUGAGUAACACGUAAGUAAUCUACCUUCGAGUGGGGAAUAACAGUCGGAAACGGCUGCUAAUACCGCAUAAUGCAGCGGCAUCGCAAGAUGACAGUUGUUAAAGAUUUAUCGCUUGAAGAGGAGCUUGCGGCAGAUUAGCUAGUUGGUAAGGUAAUGGCUUACCAAGGCUACGAUCUGUAACCGGUCUAAGAGGACGGUCGGUCACACUGACACUGAAUAACGGGUCAGACUCCUACGGGAGGCAGCAGUCGGGAAUUUUGGGCAAUGGGCGAAAGCCUGACCCAGCAACGCCGCGUGAAGGAUGAAGUAUUUCGGUAUGUAAACUUCGAAAGAAUAGGAAGAAUUAAUGACGGUACUAUUUAUAAGGUCCGGCUAACUACGUGCCAGCAGCCGCGGUAAUACGUAGGGACCAAGCGUUGUUCGGAUUUACUGGGCGUAAAGGGCGCGUAGGCGGCAUGACAAGUCACUUGUGAAAUCUCCGGGCUUAACUCGGAACGGCCAAGUGAUACUGUCACGCUAGAGUGCGGAAGGGGCAAUCAGAAUUCUUGGUGUAGCGGUGAAAUGCGUAGA
rnacentral:rRNA from 1 species